AAGUCGUAACAAGGUCUCCGUUGGUGAACCAGCGGAGGGAUCAUUACAAGAAGCCGAAAGGCUACUUAAAACCAUCGCGAACUUAUCCAAGUUGCUUCGGCGGCGCGGCUCCCCUCACGGGGGACUGCAGCCCGGCCUCUCAGGAGGUAUGGGGCACCCGCCGGAGGUACGAAACUCUGUAUUAUAGUGGCAUCUCUGAGUAUAACACAAAUAAGUUAAAACUUUCAACAACGGAUCUCUUGGUUCUG
rnacentral:misc_RNA from 1 species